rfam:Gilliamella apicola SCGC AB-598-P17 SCG598P17_12314, whole genome shotgun sequence.
CUAACCGUGGUUCGUAAUCCAUCCCACGAAAAAAAACUAGGAAAGA